AGCAGCAUUGUACAGGGCUAUG
rnacentral:ncRNA from 6 species